UACGGAAGGCAGCAGCGGGGAAUAUUGCACAAUGGGCGCAAGCCUGAUGCAGCCAUGCCGCGUGUAUGAAAAAGGCCUUCGGGUUGUAAAGUACUUUCAGUCGUGAGGAAGGUGUUAAGGUUAAUAACCUUAGCAAUUGACGUUAGCGACAGAAGAAGCACCGGCUAACUCCGUGCCAGCAGCCGCGGUAAUACGGAGGGUGCGAGCGUUAAUCGGAAUUACUGGGCGUAAAGGGCACGCAGGCGGUUAAUUAAGUUGGAUGUGAAAUCCCCGGGCUUAACCUGGGAAUGGCAUUCAAGACUGGUUAGCUAGAGUCUUGUAGAGGGGGUAGAAUUCCAUGUGUAGCGGUGAAAUGCGUAGAGAUGUGGAGGAAUACCGGUGGCGAAGGCGGCCCCUGGGACAAAGACUGACGCUCAUGUGCGAAAGCGUGGGGAGCAAAC
rnacentral:rRNA from 1 species